rnacentral:snRNA from 1 species
UUAUAAAAUUGGGCCGACUGCUAUCAACAAGGCCCAUGGCCUAGGUUGAUGACUUCCAUUGCACUUUGGAAGGGUAUUAACCUAAGGUCUACCUUAAUGGUGGAGCCUACGUCAUAAUUUGUGGUAGAGGGGGCCUGCGUUCGUGCGGCCCUUA